rnacentral:tRNA from 1 species
GCUAGGACGCCUGACGAAAGGAUUACCAUGAUGAGGUAAAAAAUGUGCCCCCCCACUCCUGGCU